UAAUAGCAGUACUUUGUUAGCUGAAGUGCAGAAAAGAAAAAUGGCAAAAUACACAUCAUUAUCUCCUCCGUUUCUUUCCCCCAAUCCCAAGCAUUCCCUCUUUCGUUCUCUUUCUAAAAUCUUAAUUGAACAGUGACAAUCAAUGAGUCACUCUCUCUCUCUCUCUCUCUCUCUCUCUCUCUCUCUCUAUUUGCUAGCCUUCUCCUCCAUCGGCCUUGAAGACAAAAUUUGCUAGAUUAAUACCUAGCUAUGGCUAAAUCCCAAUCUCGUCAUGGAUUUUCCUCAGUUACGAUCAAUUUCAGCAACAUUUUCGAGAAAUUCACCGUAAAUUUUGUUCAUUUUCAGGUCGUCGUUCGUGAAGUGAAGGCAUGGGAUCGACCGAGCGCGACUCAUUUCUCCGAGUAAUUUUGUUCUACACCGGAUGAAACCCUAGCUUUGCUCUUGAGAGAAAUUGCUGCAGAAUUUUCUUCGAGUCUUUGUCGGAGCUCUGUCGAUCUAAAUAUGAGGUUGUUGCAAAACAAUAGCAUUUCAGGUCAUAUUCCUCUAGAAAUGGUACCUGUUGUAUCUCAGGGUCUUUGAAAGAAGUAGCAUGGAAUCUGAAAUUUUUGGCUUUCCAAGAAACUUUCCUUCUGGAAGACUUCUUUUCAAAGCUUGAAUGAAAAUGCGUUCUGCUCUCAUGAAGUCACUGUCACUUUCAGAAAACAAAAGCAGACAUCUCAAAAUGAAGAAAUUUCUCUGGGAAUUCCUAUUCAUUUUAAUGUCUCUGCAUUGGAAUCAGAUAUUGCAGACAUCUUCGGGGAUUUUAAGCUGCAGCACAAAAGCCUAAAGGAGAAAGUGAAGGAUUGCAACAAGAAGGAACCACCAUACAAAGAAGAAAAGGAGUAGGACUACUCGCAAAUGACUUGCUUGAGAUAGUGGAAAAGUUUCUGGAAAAUGACCAGGACUACUUGCAAAUGACUUGCUUAAAUUCUUCAUCUCUCACCUUGCAAUUUUAUGGAAUGUGGUUCCAUUGGGUUGUGGAUGAUUUUGAGACGUGAAGAUACUUUUGAGAGACGUAUGAUGAAUUUGUGCUUUUCAAGACAAGCACUUCUGGGGAUAUGUGAAAUAUCUUGUCAUUGUAAUGAACUUAUUACAUUACAAGGAAGUUCAUCCUUUUUUGUUUGCUUUUCAAAAUGAUGACAUGCGAUAAAGUUUGUAAAAUUUGACUGAAGCAAUGUAUGAUACUUUGUUCUAGUGUACUGUGGAACUUUAAUUUUA